rnacentral:rRNA from 1 species
UACGUAGGGGGCGAGCGUUGUCCGGAGUUACUGGGCGUAAAGCGCACGCAGGCGGUCUGCUAAGUUUGGAGUGACAGUUGGUGGCUUAACUGCCAAAGUGCUUCGAAAGCUGACAGACUUGAGGGCUUCAGAGGGACACGGAAUUCCGGGUGGAGUGGUGAAAUGCGUAGAGAUCCAGAGGAACACCAAAGGCGAAGGCAGUGUCCUGGGGAGUACCUGACGCUCAGGUGCGAAAGCGUGGGGAGCGAACAGG